rnacentral:rRNA from 1 species
ACUGUUUCGGCUAGGGGGCCAUCCCGGCUUACCAACCCGAUGCAAACUGCGAAUACCGGAGAAUGUUAUCACGGGAGACACACGGCGGGUGCUAACGUCCGUCGUGAAGAGGGAAACAACCCAGACCGCCAGCUAAGGUCCCAAAGUCAUGGUUAAGUGGGAAACGAUGUGGGAAGGCCCAGACAGCCAGGAUGUUGGCUUAGAAGCAGCCAUCAUUUAAAGAAAGCGUAAUAGCUCACUGGUCGAGUCGGCCUGCGCGGAAGAUGUAACGGGGCUAAACCAUGCACCGAAGCUGCGGCAGCGACGCUGAUGCGUUGUUGGGUAGGGGAGCGUUCUGUAAGCCUGCGAAGGUGGCCUGUGAGGGUUGCUGGAGGUAUCAGAAGUGCGAAUGCUGACAUAAGUAACGAUAAAGCGGGUGAAAAGCCCGCUCGCCGGAAGACCAAGGGUUCCUGUCCAACGUUAAUCGGGGCAGGGUGAGUCGACCCCUAAGGCGAGGCCGAAAGGCGUAGUCGAUGGGAAACGGGUUAAUAUUCCCGUACUUGGUGUUACUGCGAAGGGGGGACGGAGAAGGCUAUGUUGGCCGGGCGACGGUU